rnacentral:rRNA from 1 species
GGCGACUCGCCGAAUGAGUUUCUGACCUAUCAACUCGAGACGGCGGGGUAGAGGCCCGCCGCGGUAACGACGGGUAACGGGGAAUCAGGGUUCGAUUCCGGAGAGGGAGCCCGAGAAACGGCUACCACUUCCAAGGAAGGCAGCAGGCGCGCAACUUACCCUAAUCUCGAUUCGAGGAGGUAGUGACAAGAAAUACCGAUGCGGGACCCUACGGGUGCCGCGUUCGGAAUGAGUACGAUUCGAACCACCUAACGAGGAACGUUCGGAGGGCAAGUCUGGUGCCAGCAGCCGCGGUAAUUCCAGCUCCAAUAGCGUACGUUAAAGUUGCUGCAGUUAAAAAGCUCGUAGUUGAACGUUCGGGUUCCGCGGGACGGGGCCGCCCCGCGAGGGACGGCGCCGCCCCGGGGCUCGUGAUAUCUUAUCUCGCCGCCCGUCGCGAGGCGGACGGAGGGGAUGGAUGAGGUUACCUGGAAAAAA